rnacentral:lncRNA from 1 species
UCAUUUCUCCUGGCUCUGCUGAAGACAUUGACCAGAGCGUGCCAGACGUGCCAGACUCUAGCGUGGGUUGUGACGCAACGUCUUCCCAGAGCAGCCCACCCCAAGCAGAGUCGGAGUGCUCCGGCAGCAGCACCUCCGUGCAGGAGUAGGUCAGCGUCCGUGAGGAGAAGCGGAGCCUCGUGGAGGAGGGCGUAGAAGCAGGCAGCCGGUCCCAGACAGCGGGCAGCAGCACCAGCUCCGAGCCAGUCUCUCCGUGACGAGAGAAGCCGAGUCCCUUCUUCACUCUGGACCUCUCACGCCCUCCUGCCUUCUAACGAAUAAACGCACACUCGUGCUCGAUGGACACCUUGCGUGCAUUCCGAGUCUUCAUUCACAGGGAUUGGGCUGAACAGAAGAAAGAGCGAGGCACUUUGUCUUGCAGCAGCAUGGCUUUGGGCGUCCAUUCCUGGCUGCCACCUCCGAGCUGGCCCUGCAGAUCAUCUCCAGACGGGUCAUCAUCACGCUGCGGCAGGAGGAGCUGGCCCUGCCCCACGUCAGGCCGUGCUGCUGGGUCUGCAGAUGAGCGGCUGCCUCCUCCUCUCUUCAGCUGCAGUAGCGUUUCUCAGGGAGGUGGGAUGCAGUCGCGCUCCGCUGGAUGCUGUGGAUGAAAUCCAAAGCAAAUCUUUGUACUGUGAUGAGCAAACCACGCUAUCUUGCAAACGAUGUCAGACUCUUCUUUGCCAGCCUUCCCUUCCAUCUUCCCUUUGCUGUUUCUGAGAAAGGAGAGCGGUGCCUUGUGUGCAGCAGGGCAGGAGUCAGUGCAACACAAAGGUGCUGUGCCCGUCACAGCCUUUCUCCAGGGGCCGCCAAAGAAGCUGAUGCAAGCAGCCUUCCAGCAAAGUGCAGCCACGCAGAAAGGCAGCAGAGGAGCACAGAGCGUGGCACGGCCCCAAGGAGAGAGAGAGGUGCUGAGCCAAAUGGCAAGAUCUAUGUGCAAGCGGUGAAUGAAGUCCGUUCUGAGGGAGCUCGUCUCCAGGCUGGAGGGCUUCCUGGAAGAGCGGGCCCAGCGCAGGAGGAAGACCUUCCCCUGCAGUUGACAUCCAGUCUUUCUCCAAGACCCUGUCUGGAAGAAAGCCCAAGGGCUUGGAAGAGAAGCCAAAAGCAGAGCUGGAGCCUGCCAAGAAACAAGUGAAGGGGGAGCGCAAUGGGGAGAAGGCUCAGAGGGCGCAUGAGAGCAGAGGCGGUGUGCCAGCUCCACCAGCGCACCCUGGGCCUGCCCCAGCACCCAGCACUGUUCCUCUUUGGAGCAGUGCUCCACGUUCUCCUGAUGUUGCACUCAGAAGGCAUCCCUCAGUCAUACAGCCUUCCCAAAUGCCAGCCUGCCUUUGUUUCAGCUGAGAUGGAAUUGUUUCCUUUAGAGUGCCUGGUAUGACGCUAUCUGUCAUCCUGGUUUUAUCGGCACUCCAUGCCAUGCCAUCCUGUGGCAGGCUGUUGGAGCAGAGGCACAGUGCUGUGGAGCUAUACUUCCCAGCCCUGUGCUCUCGAGCAGUCUCAUGUGAGUUCCAACUCUCCCAGAAAUCUCUUGUUCCCAGGAACCUCCACUGUUUCCUAUAUGAUCUCCAAUGCCGGGUGAUGCGAUGAUCGGCCCUUCCGGGUCCUGGCAGCACAGCGAGCAGCGUGGUGGGAGCCUUCCUCUCUCCCAUUGGAGUUAUUAAUUGUAACUCUCUUUCUUAGUAUUAUCUUAUGUUCUAUGUAGUAAAUUUGUUCUCUCUCCUUAUCUUCAUUGGUUCAUUGUGUGGGGGACCUAAAGGCCCCUGACUGAAGAAUGAUCCUGGGAUGGAACAAAGUAUUCUGACUGUUUUAAGGGAACAUAAGGAUCUUGUUUUGUAGAGAGAGCUGACCUUGGUAGUUGGUCUUGUUUUUGCAAAGCCUUGUUUUACAAGCAGCGGUUCCACUUGGGCUCUGUAUCACGUGUUGGCCACGCAGGUACAGCGUGCAAGUGGAACAAACCCUGCAGACCCCGGGGAGAAUCAAAGCAGGAGAGAGGCUGCAGUGGGAGAGAGAGGACAAGUGCCCCUUGAAGCAGGGGUUGCCCUGCUGGCGCUGCCUAUCGCAUCCACCGCCGCCAUGCUCCUGCUCGCUCCUUUUUGGCGGUUCGCCAUCUCUCAAGGGCUGGUAAGUAACGGUGCACU